UACGGGGGGGGCAAGCGUUGUUCGGAAUUACUGGGCGUAAAGGGCUCGUAGGUGGCCAACUAAGUCGGACGUGAAAUCCCUCGGCUUAACCGGGGAACUGCGUCUGAUACUGGCGAGCUUGAGUGCAGGAGAGGAACGCGGAAUUCCAGGUGUAGCGGUGAAAUGCGUAGAUAUCUGGAGGAACACCGGUGGCGAAGGCGGCGUUCUGGACUGCAACUGACACUGAGAAACGAAAGCCAGGGUAGCAAACGGG
rnacentral:rRNA from 1 species